CCUAGCGAUGGCAACUGUGAGUACGCUGAUAGUUUGUACAUGCAUACACCAAGGGAGCAAUACAUUUGCAGCCGCCAGCCUGCAGAUAAGGGGCGCAUGGUUUUUAUUUACACACCAGUCUGGUACGGACAAAUGUGCGUGUGGGAAGCAUACAGAAGUGGUACUACUGCGAACCAGUCAAGGACAGUGCUUUGCGCGGGAGUACAGUAUCUGUUGAGCGCAGAUUAAAGUGACGCGAAAAUGUAACCAGAAAAGGCUAUUCAGUGCGAUGCAAUGUUUGGCACAAGUGAACUUGCAUGAACAACCAUGCGUCUCCAUCGCGUUCGGGAAAUUAAACGACUUUCGUCGUAAAUGAGCAGCUGGAGUUACUUUGUAGGCAAAGUAUCUAUAGACAAGGUACACAUCAAGCAGGAAAUACAUUGGCGAGGAAAAUCUGCUUAUCCACAUGAGGGAAAUACCAUCGGAAUAGAAAAUAACCUACCCC